rnacentral:piRNA from 1 species
UGAAGUCCUAGGAGGUACCCACC